GACGUUGGUUGUUGAACGACAGGAGGUU
rnacentral:sRNA from 1 species